AAACACAUAGGUUUGGUCCUGGCCUUUUCAUUAGCUUCUAGCUAACUUAUACAUGCAAGCAUCCCCGUCCCAGUGAGAAUACCCUCUAUAUCUACUAAUUGAUCAAAAGGUGCAGGCAUCAAGUUCACUAUUCCUGGUAGCUCAUAACGCCUUGCUCCACCACACCCCCACGGGAGACAGCAGUAAUUAAAAUUAAGCCUAUAAACGAAAGUUUGACUAAGUUAAGCUAAAUAAAGAGUUGGUAAAUUUCGUGCCAGCCACCGCGGUCAUACGAUUAACUCUAGUUAAUGAAACACGGCGUAAAGCGUGAUUAAGAGACUAAUCAGAUAAGAUUAAAAUAAUAUUAAACUGUAAAAAGUCUUGAUAAUUAUGAAAAUCAAAUACGAAAGUAAUCUUAAAUUUUCUGAAUUCACGAUAGCUAAGAUCAGGGCACACAUCUGUAAUCACAGCAGCUUGGGAGGUUGAGGUAGGAGAAUGGAAGGUUCAAAGUCAGCCUCAGCAACUUGGUGAAGCACUGAGCAAUUUAGUGAGAACUUGUCUCAAAAUAAAAAAUAAAAGGGCUGGGGAUAUGGCUCAGUAGGUAAGUGCCCUGGNCUAGCAAUAGCCUGAAACUCAAAGGACUUGGCGGUGCUUUACAUCCCUCUAGAGGAGCCUGUUCUAUAAUCGAUAAACCCCGAUACACCUCACCACCUUUAGCAUAUAUCAGCCUAUAUACCGCCAUCUGCAGCAAACCCUAAAAAGGCCCUACAGUAAGCAAGAAAAUUUUACAUUAGUACGUUAGGUCAAGGUGUAGCCUAUAAGGUGGGAAGAAAUGGGCUACAUUUUCUACCUUUCUAGAAUAAACCCCCACGAUAGCUUUUAUGAAACUCAGAGCAUAAGGCGGAUUUAGUAGUAAGUUAAGAAUAGAGAGCUUAACUAAAUGGGGCAAUAAAGCACGCACACACCACCCGUCACCCUCUUCAAAUAUACUUCAAUACAAUUCUAUUAAUAAUUUAUUUUAUCAAAUAUAUAAGAAGAGACAAGUCAUAACAAGGUAAACAUACUGGAAAGUGUGUUUGGAAUAACCAAAAU
rnacentral:rRNA from 1 species